rnacentral:lncRNA from 1 species
UGCUUCUUGAAUGUGUUCGGGGAUUCAUCAAUCCUUUAUCUAUCAUCUAUGUAUCAUUUACACCUAUCACCUAUCAUCAUCUAUGCAUCAUCCAUCAUUUAUGUAACACCUAUCAUCUAUGUAUCAUUCACCGUCCAUGUAUCAUCUAUCACUAAUCUGUCAUCUGACUUCUGUUAUCUACCUAAGGUUUUUGUUUCCAAUCUCAGAAAGGCAAAACAUUUUUUUAACACAAUGCCUUUAUUUUUAUGUGGUGCUGAGGAUGGAACCCGGGUCCCGCCCGUGCUAGGCGAGGGCUCUACCACUGAGCCACAAUCCCAGCCCAAGGCAAAGCAUUUUUAAGACGAGUUAAUCUAUCAGCGGGGCAUGGUGGCACACACCUGUAAUUCCAGCACCUUGGGAGGCUGAGGCAGGAGGAUUGCAAGUUCAAAGCCAGCCUCAGCAAAAGCAAAGUGCUAUGCAACUCAGUGAGAUCUUGUUGCUAAAUAAAAUACAAAAUUGGGCUGGAAAUGUGGCUCAAUGUUCAAGUGUCCUGAGUUCAAUCCCCAGUAAAAAAUAAAGUAAAAAAAAAAAUACUAGUUAAUCUUAGAUUUCCUGAGAAAAAUACUUUCUGAGAAUCUGAUACUUCCCCAAAGAGAAAAGAGAAAAGCUACUUACCACAUGUGGAUUUCCUCUCAAGACAGGGAUGCGGAGGCAGCAUGUGUCAAGUGUGUGGGUGAGACACAUGAACCUCAGAUAAAGGCCUGGGACUGCAAGACCUCUCCUCCUUGCUGGGAGUUAUUAUCAUGUCACCUGGGAGUGCAGUGAGAGCAUCUUCUAGGGGACUGCAGAAGAUCUCUGAGGAGCACUUGGGAUUGUGGAGAACACUGACAGCUAUUAAAACAAUUUAAAAAUAUAUCCAACAGGAAUUUCAGAGACAAUUAAGGAAAGUGUGCUUUUUUUUUUCUUUUUUGGUACCAAGGAUUAAACCCAGGAGUACUUAUCCACUGAGAAACAUCCCCCAGACCUUUUAAAAUAUAUUUUAUUAGAGACAGGGUCUCACUGAUUUGCUUAGGGCUGGCUUUGAACUCUUGAUCCUCCUGCUUCAGUUUCCUGAGUCGCUGGGAUUACAGGAGAAAUCCAUGCCCAGCAAUAAAAGUGAACUUUUGAAAUCAACAAAAUCCACAUGAAAGAUGAGAAGAGAAACCCGAAAUCUAACAAGUGAGAUGGAUGCCAAUCAAAUGUUUAUCCCAGAUUCUUAGCUGAUCUAGAGGCUAUGUUUCCAAAGCAAUUCUUCCUCAAAAGCAGGAAAAAAUGUGAUUAUAAUUAGAACAUUUCUCCUGAGCUCUCAUGUUAUCAUAUUUGUUCAGUAUUUUGACUAAUAUUUAUUGGGUAGUUUAUGGGUUUCCGGUAUGUUUCUAGGCACAUGGAUUAUAUUGGUGAACAAAAUAUAAGUUUGCCCUUCUGGAAGUCACUGUAUACUUAUGAAAAAGGCAAUAAACAUUGCAUUGUUGAAAUAAAUACCAUUGUAGACUAGAAAGCAAUCUGUCCUAAGGCAAUAAGAGGAAGUACAAGGGCUUCAGGUAGGCUGAAGUUGAAAAUUGACUGUUCAUGUUUGGACUCAAAAUAAAAAUAGUUUUAAGGAAAUAUUUUAUUUGGUGUAGGAGGACAUACCUACUUCUUCUUUUCCAAAUAUUGUAUGCUUAUUUUCUUUCCUUAAUGUCUGAAGUCUGAUAUCCAGUUUAACACUGAGUACAAGUUCCAUGCAUGGCCACUGUACUUUUGUUUUAAUCUUAUGGGAAUAUGUUAACAAUGGACCAUGGGUUAUGAAACCUGCCAAAACACCUUUGUAGAUGUUAUUUAUAAAACUACAGAAUAGACCUUCUCUUGUAUCCUUAGAUGCAUAUAGUUUUGUGCAUAUAUUUUUUGUCUUCCUAAGUUUUAUUCUUAAUUUCAUAUACAACAUGAUGAUAUAUCUUCUUUUUUCUUAUUUUCAUAACAGAACAACUUUUCUUUGUCUAUUAUGUAUGCAUAACCUAUCUUAUUUUUGAUAAUAUAUAUUAUAUUUUGAAAACCAUUAUGGUAAGAUGGGAACAUUGUACCCUUUGGCAAUGAAUAAUUUGUUGUGCUUUUUAAAAAUAAAUGGGUAUUAUUCUCCAUGA